rnacentral:rRNA from 1 species
CCGUGAAACUGCGAAUGGCUCAUUAAAUCAGUUAUAGUUUAUUUGAUGGUACCUUGCUACAUGGAUAACUGUGGUAAUUCUAGAGCUAAUACAUGCGAUAAAGCCCCGACUUCAGGAAGGGGUGUAUUUAUUAGAUAAAAAACCAACGCGGUUCGCCGCUCCAUUGGUGAUUCAUAAUAACUUGUCGAAUCGCACGGCCUUGCGCUGGCGAUGCUUCAUUCAAAUAUCUGCCCUAUCAACUUUCGAUGGUAGGAUAGUGGCCUACCAUGGUUUCAACGGGUAACGGGGAAUAAGGGUUCGAUUCCGGAGAGGGAGCCUGAGAAACGGCUACCACAUCCAAGGAAGGCAGCAGGCGCGCAAAUUACCCAAUCCCGACACGGGGAGGUAGUGACAAUAAAUAACAAUAUAGGGCCCUUUCGGGUCUUAUAAUUGGAAUGAGUACAAUUUAAAUCCCUUAACGAGGAACGAUUGGAGGGCAAGUCUGGUGCCAGCAGCCGCGGUAAUUCCAGCUCCAAUAGCGUAUAUUAAAGUUGUUGCAGUUAAAAAGCUCGUAGUUGAACUUCAGACCUGGCCGGACGGUCUGCCUAACGGUAUGUACUGUCCUCGGCCGGGCCUUACCUCUUGGUGAGCCGUCAUGUCCUUAACUGGGUGUGGUGGGGAACCAGGACCUUUACCUUGAGAAAAUUAGAGUGUUCAAAGCAGGCCUACGCCCGAAUACAUUAGCAUGGAAUAAUAAAAUAGGACGCGCGGUUCUAUUUUGUUGGUUUCUAGAGUCGCCGUAAUGAUUAAUAGGGAUGGUUGGGGGCAUUAGUAUUCAGUUGCUAGAGGUGAAAUUCUUGGAUUUACUGAAGACUAACUACUGCGAAAGCAUUUGCCAAGGAUGUUUUCAUUAAUCAAGAACGAAGGUUAGGGGAUCGAAAACGAUCAGAUACCGUUGUAGUCUUAACAGUAAACCAUGCCGACUAGGGAUCGGGCGAACUCGAUUUUAUGUGACGCUCGGCACCUUACGAGAAAUC